rnacentral:rRNA from 1 species
GAUGAACGCUGGCGGCGUGCCUAAUACAUGCAAGUCGAGCGAACAGACGAGGAGCUUGCUCCUCUGACGUUAGCGGCGGACGGGUGAGUAACACGUGGAUAACCUACCUAUAAGACUGGGAUAACUUCGGGAAACCGGAGCUAAUACCGGAUAAUAUAUUGAACCGCAUGGUUCAAUAGUGAAAGACGGUUUUGCUGUCUCUUAUAGAUGGAUCCGCGCCGCAUUAGCUAGUUGGUAAGUUAACGGCUUACCAAGGGAACGAUGCGUAGCCGACCUGAGAGGGUGAUCGGCCACACGGGAACUGAGACACGGUCCAGAGGCCUACGGGAGGGAGCAGUAGGGAAUCUGCCGCAAUGGGCGAAAGCCUGACGGAGCAACGCCGCGUGAGUGAUGAAGGUCUUCGGAUCGUAAAACUCUGUUAUUAGGGAAGAACAAAUGUGUAAGUAACUAUGCACGUCUUGACGGUACCUAAUCAGAAAGCCACGGCUAACUACGUG